CUAUUGGUUUUUUUCAAAGCCACCGGAUAGUUCCAAAGCAAUUUCUU
rfam:Ophiophagus hannah scaffold46448.1, whole genome shotgun sequence.